rnacentral:lncRNA from 1 species
GUCCGGGGUAUAUUUGCUACAUGCGUUCCGGUACUGUGCACUCGCAAUACUAUAAACUACAUAUAGUUUCUAUACUCAAUAAUUCUUAUAGACACUAUGUAGAAACUAUGGUCCUAAUGGAUAGUUUCUAUAAAAUAUUUUUAUAUCCAAUCACAUUCAUUCUCUUCAUUCUUAGCCAACCAUAUCACUUUAUGUGUUGGAUUUUGUGUAGACAUCGUUUCUAACUUAGACCUAGUUUCUAUAAUUUUUACUCUCUCUCUUCAAUAACUAAAUUGUCACAUCAGCAAAAUGCUUAGGUGACACUGCAAUUAAUGUCUAUAGAAACUACGAUGGUUUCUGCAUUGGGAGUGCCCUAAGUAUGCCACCUUUAGUCCUAGAGUAAGUAUCCACCUUUAGUCCCGGUUCGACGGCCCGGGACUAAAGGUUCGGUUGGUAACAGCAACUGGGACUAAAAUGUGCGCCAGGAUAUGCCACCUGGCCGCCACUUUUAGUCCCGACUAAAGAGUUUUUUCUGUUUUUUUCUUUUUUUGGUUUUUCAUUUAGGGUUUACAAUUAUAUUAUUAGUAUUUUCGAAUAUGUAUUGUUCGCUGCUAGUUUAUGUAAACGCGCAGCUAUAAUUUAUAUAAUUUAAAGCAUUAUAUAUAAAUAUACUAUAAAACAAUAUAUAUAUAUUAUACAUGUAUCUAUAGGUCCAUAAUAUAAUAUUUACACAUAUGCAUCACGGAUAAAGUAUUUACAAUACAAUUUAUCUCCGCCACUCAAGCAUCUUACAAAUGAUCAUCUUGAUUUGGUUUCAUUGGCUCCUCAGGGUUGAAGUAGCACUCGCCGUCGGGAUUCAAGACUUGGUCGUUAAGAAUUCCUGCGAUUGUCUCCUGAAUUUCUAUUAGGCGGACCGCAUCCAACACCUUCUCCUUCAACCACAUCUCCUUUAAUAGACAUUAAAAAAAGUUAGAGGUAUGAAUAAGAUUUAUUAAAUAGCAACAAAUAAAUGAAAUAAACUUAUUAUAUAUACAUGUUACAUAUUUUUAGGUGCUCAAGAUUAGUUCUUUUGGCAUAGACUGUCAGAAACUCGCACACAUAGUAGCCACAUAAAUUAUUACCCGGUGUCUGCCGUAGAACCCACUGAAGUAGGAUAGGCUUUAAAAGUGGCGCUUUCAAAUCUAGAUGGUGUCUGCACGAACCAAGCCCAAACCCUAGCAAUAAAACGAUCAUUAUUAGUUAUCUAUUACCGAGUUAAAAGAGCAGAAAUACCUUAGAUAAUAUCUGUCAUUUCUUGGUAAUCUUCCUGUGGUUUUCUCAACGAGUCAUAGACUACCAAAUACCAAAUGACAUUGCCAGAGAUCAAUGACAAUUAGUAUCCAAUGAAAGAUGCAUUUGUGUGUAGGCAAAAUAAUUAUAUAUCUUCAUACUGAUCUGAUUAAUUAGUUAAAUAGAAUGUACAUACGAUAACGACACUUACUUGAAGUUAUAGGAAAAGAGUAUAUAUCUUUUGUCCUUUUGAUUGAUCAAGAAUCUCUAUAGAUUUCUCUCCGUUUGAAUUCUCCAUAAGACAUUGGGGUCUUCAGGUCUUUGAAUACAACAUAUGGAUCCACAAAUCCAAUCUUCAUGUCAUUUCUAACUCUGAGGUCCCUGUUGGGUAUUUUAAACGCAAAUAGAAAAAUCCACAAGUGUACGGAUACCGAUGUAGCUUUCACCCGGGAGUAUUCCAGAGUAUCGAUUUUCCACAGGGAACGUGAGUGUACUAAUUAAGAUUCAAGAUCGCCCAAGGAUAACUAUAUAAUUAUUUUUGGUGGGAAGAGAGGAAGUUCCUUGAGAGUUCUCUAGCUGAUCUAAGAAUCAAGAAUUACUUCAAAGAUUAUUUAUUUCGGGACAUCAGAACACUAACCACAGAAAGAGAUGAGAAGGGGGCUAGGAAGCUCUGACUAUGGUCCGACAAACACCGAUCCGAACGAGGUGGAAUACGUCGACCGUUAGAGCUAUCACUACCAUAGGGCUACCACAACAAUCCUC